GCGAAAGUUGGCCUAAUGCCCUAUGUAGUCGUUUGAUCGCCUGAGAUUUCGACGAAAGAUUAUCGGUAUUUGGAUGGGGGAUGCGUCUGAUUAGCUUGUUGGCGGGUAAAGGCCCACCAAGGCAACGAUCCAGUAGGGGUUCUGAGAGGAAGGUCCCCCACAUUGGAACUGAGACACGGUCCAAACUCCUACGGGAGGCAGCAGUGAGGAAUAUUGGUCAAUGGGCGAGAGCCUGAACCAGCCAAGUAGCGUGCAGGAUGACGGCCCUAUGGGUUGUAAACUGCUUUUAUAUGGGAAUAAAGUGAGGGACGUGUCCCUUAUUGCAUGUACCAUACGAAUAAGGACCGGCUAAUUCCGUGCCAGCAGCCGCGGUAAU
rnacentral:rRNA from 1 species